rnacentral:rRNA from 1 species
CCUACGGGAGGCAGCAGUGGGGGAUAUUGCACAAUGGGGGAAACCCUGAUGCAGCGACGCCGCGUGGGUGAAGAAGCGCCUCGGCGCGUAAAGCCCUGUCAGCAGGGAAGAAAAUGACGGUACCUGAAGAAGAAGCCCCGGCUAACUACGUGCCAGCAGCCGCGGUAAUACGUAGGGGGCAAGCGUUAUCCGGAGUUACUGGGUGUAAAGGGGGCGCAGACGGCGAUGCAAGCCAGGAGUGAAAGCCCGGGGCCCAACCCCGGGACUGCUCUGGGAACUGCGUGGCUAGAGUGCAGGAGGGGCAGGCGGAAUUCCUGGUGUAGCGGUGAAAUGCGUAGAUAUCAGGAGGAACACCGGUGGCGAAGGCGGCCUGCUGGACUGCAACUGACGUUGAGGCCCGAAAGCGUGGGGAGCAAACAGGAUUAGAUACCCCUGGUC